GGGGAAUAUUGCACAAUGGGCGAAAGCCUGAUGCAGCGACGCCGCGUGAGGGAUGACGGCCUUCGGGUUGUAAACCUCUUUCAGCAGGGACGAAGGGUGACUGACGGUACCUGCAGAAGAAGCACCGGCCAGCUACGUGCCAGCAGCCGCGGUAAGACGUAGGGGGCGAGCGUUGUCCGGAAUUAUUGGGCGUAAAGAGCUCGUAGGCGGCUUGUUGCGUCGGCUGUGAAAACCCGCGGCUCAACCGUGGGCUUGCAGCCGAUACGGGCAGGCUAGAGUUCGGUAGGGGAGACUGGAAUUCCUGGUGUAGCGGUGAAAUGCGCAGAUAUCAGGAGGAACACCGGUGGCGAAGGCGGGUCUCUGGGCCGAUACUGACGCUGAGGAGCGAAAGCGUGGGGAGCGAAC
rnacentral:rRNA from 1 species